rnacentral:rRNA from 1 species
UAGGGAAUCUUCGGCAAUGGACGAAAGUCUGACCGAGCAACGCCGCGUGAGUGAAGAAGGUUUUCGGAUCGUAAAACUCUGUUGUUAGAGAAGAACAAGGACGUUAGUAACUGAACGUCCCCUGACGGUAUCUAACCAGAAAGCCACGGCUAACUACGUGCCAGCAGCCGCGGUAAUACGUAGGUGGCAAGCUUUGUCCGGAUUUAUUGGGCGUAAAGCGAGCGCAGGCGGUUUCUUAAGUCUGAUGUGAAAGCCCCCGGCUCAACCGGGGAGGGUCAUUGGAAACUGGAAGACUUGAGUGCAGAAGAGGAGAGUGGAAUUCCAUGUGUAGCGGUGAAAUGCGUAGAUAUAUGGAGGAACACCAGUGGCGAAGGCGGCUCUCUGGUCUGUAACUGACGCUGAGGCUCGAAAGCGUGGGGAGCAAACAGG